GGAGAGGUGGCUGAGUGGUCGAAAGCGGCACCCUGCUAAGGUGUUAUACGGUUUCCGUAUCGAGGGUUCGAAUCCCUCUCUCUCCGCCA
rnacentral:tRNA from 1 species